GAUGAAGAACGCAGCGAAAUGCGAUACGUAAUGUGAAUUGCAGAAUUCAGUGAAUCAUCGAGUCUUUGAACGCACAUUGCGCCCCCUGGUAUUCCGGGGGGCAUGCCUGUCCGAGCGUCAUUGCUACCCUCAAGCACGGCUUGUGUGUUGGGCCUCCGCCCCCCGGCUCCCGGGGGGCGGGCCCGAAAGGCAGCGGCGGCACCGCGUCCGGUCCUCGAGCGUAUGGGGCUUCGUCACCCGCUCCGUAGGCCCGGCCGGCGCCCGCCGGCGACCCCCCUCAAUCUUUCCAGGUUGACCUCGGAUCAGGUAGGGAUACCCGCUGAACUUAAGCAUAUCAAUAAGCGGAGGA
rnacentral:misc_RNA from 1 species